GGUUUUAAAAAAAGUGGCCCAAUGGAUAAGGCGUGAGUCUACGGAACUCAAGAUUCCAGGUUCGAACCCUGGCAGGAUCA
rnacentral:tRNA from 1 species